CCCCUAGCGGUCGGGAGGCCACACACCGCUUCUCCGCCAAGGGUAUUUGAAAGGGAGAGCCUCCCUUCGUGGCGGGUGGCGGCUCCCACCGGGGCCGCUUCCGGCGGGAGGGACAGUGCUUAAGUCCUCCGACCCACGGUUGCUCUUAGUCUUGGAACCCCGAGGGAGUCACCCGGCAAGGUCUGAAAAGUUCCGUGCCGGGAGACUUUCUAAUUCCUGUGGAGUGAGGCCCACCAUUGGAUAAGACUUCCCACGUGAUUCCAAAGUUAUAGUGAAGAGUUGAAAAUCAAAGACCCAUGGUAUAACAUAAUGAUUACCGACAGGCUUGACAUCAAACAAACCUGCAUCUGAAUCUUGGUUCUAUCACUUCCUGACUGCAUAAUUUUGUGGCACGCAAAACAGUAAUGGAUCCAGACAUUAUGUCCCCUGAGGGAGAAAAUCACCUUUUCUUGAGAACCAGUGGCCUAGAAGAAAGAAGCCAUAAAAAGGAGGAAAAGGCGUAAAUAAAAAUGGAAAGAGCUACUGUCCAAGGCAGCCAUGUAGUCUCACUCACAAUAUCUACAAUGGGACAUUUCUUGUGCUAGCAAGGAUGCAUAGGGUGAGUUAACAGAGCUCAUUGGUAAAAUACCUUUGAGAGAACUUGAAAUAAAAUGUGGGAAAGCCAGGGAUGCUAGUUUUUGUUAAUCAGACAGACUAAAACUGGAGAAAUAUUUUUGUGUUAUUUUUGACAGUUCUUAUGACCUAUUUUUAUCUUCAGGCUGAUAUGGCUUGGGAAACAUUAGUUAAAUUUGAACGAAUGGAUGAUUUUAAUGAAUGAAGUUAACAUUCUUUUUUCUUAAUUGGCAUGCUUAAAUUCACACAUUACUACUGUUGGGUUAGAAUUUUAGAAGUGUCAGGUACAUUAAUCUACAUUAUACUAUUGUAAAAUAGUGAUGAACUCUCUGUGAAAAUUGAUCCCACACAGAGAGUUCUAAGAUUAGAAACUAAAAUUUUGAUGUAUCACUAAGUGUUCAAUUUAAAUUCCAUGAUAAGUGGCCUAAACAUGAAAGAAAAUUUUCAAAAUAGGCUACUGUGAGAUAUCUUUACAUUCAGUAGGUUACCCAUCACUUUUUAAACAAGAAUUUAUAUCUUUAAAACUUGCAUUAAUUUGUUUUAAAAUACUAAUUCUGAUUCCACUUGAAAUGUGUUUUGAAGCAGUAAUGGGGCAGAAGAGGAUAUAAUAAAAGAAAAUAUUGAAAAGAAGUGAUAAAAUUCCUCAAUUAAGUCUACUUUAAAAGAUGGAGAAAAUGAAGAGCCAUUGCUCUACCUGGGCAGUAUAGUAUCCCUUUCCCCUAUUGAGGUAGGAGAACCUCACUCUUCCUUCCCCAUUUCACAUACCCUGUCCUCACCACCUCUCUUCUCCCUAUCUCAGAACAGUGAGAGGUUCAUGACCUAAAGGGAAUUUGAAUCUUGGUUGGAGUGAAGUUAUUUGGAUUCCUGGUCCUACUAAAAGCUUGGAUAUUCAGGUUUUCCUUCCCAGUCCCUCAAUUCUAUGAGCUACCAGUAUACUUCCAAUUAAAUAUCUUCUUUGCUUUAUUUCCAGUAAAGUAAUUAGGUUAUCAAGAAUCGAUUUCAGUUGCUUAAAACAGAAGCAAAAAAUUGUAACUGAUACAGGAAACUCUGAUUAAAAAGUAUUGUGAAUCAUCUGUCACUUUGAUCAAAGAGAAUGGGAAAGGGUCAGGAAAGAAUAUGGAAUUAGAACUUAAAGGUAGAUUUCUUGAGUCUAUGCUGACCAAACGUUGAAAGUAUGGGAUCUAUUCAUAUGUGUUUCAUUUGUUGGUUUUUUAAUCUACUUUUACCGGGUUUACAUACAGGUGUGGUUAUAUAGUUGCCAAUGGUGCCUGAAUAAUUUUAGGAUUCCCAUAAUAUUUAGACAAUUUUUUUCUGACUGUGAUGCUUACUAUUUUCUAAUAAUGCAAUUAAAAGUAUUAUA